GCAGAAACCAGUUGGUAGACUUCUUGGAGACUUCACUCAUCCUAUGGCAUCCUUGGUGCCAGGAGGUCUCCAGUGUCAUGGUCAAGAGCAUCAGCUCUGCACUCAGCCUGUCUGGGUCUAAAUCUCAGCUCAGCUGGUAAGAGGCUCUAUGACCUUGAGCUCAUUACAGAAUUUCUCUGAGCCUCAGUUUCCCCAUCUUUCAAAUGGGGAUGAUAAUGGUAGUUCCCUCAUGGAACUAUCAUGGAUACAUGGCAUGUAAAAUAUUUUAGUACACGGUCACAUCCUGGGAGACAGAGUUCCAGAAGUCGUGGCUGCAAGAGUCAGGUAAGAGAUACAAACCUGACUCAAAGAGGAACUUCCGUGAAGAUGUCACAGCUGCAAAGAGAAAAUGACUGCCAGGUCCCCACUCACCUUGUUAGAGGCCCUGGCUGUUCUGAAUAUGCCAUAGCCAGACUCAAUGGGGGCCCACGCUGAGCUACAAACAACACUGGCUGUGGUGUGUUGAUGGAGGGGUGAGACUGGCCUCAGGGCCUGCUGACUGUUCCUUGGGUGUCUGGGGCCCGGGCAUGGAUGUUACCUUAAGGAGCACACACCGGUCUCCCUUCUUCCACACCACCCCAUCCUCCCUGCCUUUCUUCUCAGAGACUCAUUGAGCACCUACUUUAUUCCAUGUGCUUGAACAAAGUAAACCUGGCCUCUGCCCUGAUGGUGUGUGCCUCAUAGUCUGGGAAGAUAGACAAUCAACAAAUAAGCAGAAAGGUGAGCAAGAUGAUUCCUGAUGGUGGUAAGGCCUCUCCAAAGAAGCGACAUCUGAGUUGAGAGGAAAGGAGAAGGAGCUGGCUGUGCAGACACCUGGAGCCCAUUUCCACAGUGAGUGGGAAUGGCAAUUGCAAAGGCUGUGGAAAGCAGGAGAGAGCUGGGAGUUUUGGUGUUUUUGUUGUUGCUGUUUUGGGACAGGGUCUCACUCUGUCACCCAAACUGGAGUGCAGUGGCACAGUCAGCUCACUGGAACCUCGAACUCCUGAGCUCAGGUGAUCCUCCCACCUCAGCCUUCUGAGUAGCUGGGCCACAGAUGCAUGCCACCACACCUGGCUCAUUAAAAAAAUUUUUUUUAGAGAUGGGAUGGGGUCUUGUUAUGUUGCUCAGGCUGCUCUUGAACUCCUGGCCUCAAGCGAUUCUCCCGCCUUGGCCUCACAAAGUGCUGGGAUCAUAGCUGUGUCCAGCCCAGAGUCUUAAGUUUCACAGGGACAGAAAGAGGAACAGGGUAAGUGAAGGAGAGGGGUUGCUGCAGGAGAUGAGUUUGGAAGCGUGAAGAGAUCGUGUCCUGCCUCAUCGACCAGGGUGAGAAAUGGAGGUUUUAUUUUAAGUGCAGCCAGAAGUCAUUUGCUAGAGGCUCCAAGCUGGGGAGAAAGACACGAUCCAGUUUAUAUUUUAAGAGGAAGGCUCCAGCUGCUACAUGCAAAGACCUGUGGAGGGGCAAGAUGGGAGCUGGGAAGGCAGAGAGGAGGUGGCUGCAGGAACCCUGGUGCCUUGGACAGAGGUGACCGGAGUAGAAAGGAAAAAAUGAAUUCUCAAUACAGUUUGAAGGAAGAGCCAACAGGACUUGCUGACAGAUUGAAUUGGACUGGGUUAAGGGUGACAGAUUUGAACUUGUCUGUUUCAAUUUAGGCCUGAUUCUAUUUUCAUAUUAACCUUCUUGUGAUGAUUAAUAGGAUUGCUCCUUGGGAUUCUGGAGGGCAGGUGGAACGAACUGCAAUGGAGACUCACUCCUUCCUCAACUCACAAUAAAGGGAUGUCAGAGAGCUGGGUUGUAGCCCUGUCUCUGCUACCAACUUGAUGAGUGGUGUCGGCUAAAUCACACCCCCCCUCCGCGCCCCAUCCUGGCUCCAGUGUCCUCACUGUGAAAUGUGCAUGGUCUUGGUGUCUUCGCAGAGGGAAGGGCUGAGGAGGGCUGGACUUGAUGUACCAUAAAUGUUCAGAGAGUAGAAAGCAGUGACAAAGAAGUGCAUGUGGUAGGGUUGUAUUGGGAAGGGUCUCUUUGCCGCCUAAUAAUUCCCCUCCCCUCUCUCUCCUCCUUUCCCCUCCCCUCCCUUCCUCUGUCUUUCCCUUCCCUUCCUCUCCUCCCCUCCCCUCCCCUCCCCUUUCCUACCCUCCCCUUCCUUCCCCUCCUCUGCUCUCUCCCUGCCUUUCUUCCCCCACCUUGGUUCUGAGGACCCUUCUCUCCUGUGCCAGAUGGUGCCGACACAGAGCCAAGGAUGAAAGCACGCAGAUGCAUUCUGCCCAAUCCUGAUCCCUGGUCUCUGAGAAGUGAUGAGACUGGGGCUGGGGAAAAAGGAGGUUGAUUUGGAAGACCGUUCUGAGCAGGGAAGGAUGGUGUGGAGGCCUUUGGGAAGUGGGAGGGGAAUGGGGAGGGCUUCCAUCGUGAUCACAGAGGAGAAGGGCCAGGGACUGAGCAGUGAGCUGCCCUGGAGGGCACCUGGCUUCUGACCCAUCAUUUGUGAACAAACCACCAUCCAACCAUCCUGCCAACUCUCCACCCCAUGAAGAGAAGGGGAGGGGCUUGGACACCUUAUAGGGAGAGGGAGAGAAAGGGUAAUCUUGUUCCCUAACCAGUGGGGAACUGAUCAGGACCACUGGAAAUUUUCCCAUGAGCUGGGGCAGAAAGGGACCCUCUGUCACUGUUAGAUGUCUAUACCCAGCUGUCCCACCUGGGGAGUCUUUUCUUUAGACAUCCAUGAAAGUACAGUGAUGUCCAAGGAUGUUUAGUGAGUCUCCUCAAAUAGGAUGUUAGGAGACAUCCUAUCAGUCUGAGACUUGUUGAUUAAAUUACAUUAUAGCCAUACUGUGGAAUAUCACACAGCUAUUAAAAAGGACAAUCUCAAUCUCUGUGUCACCCUGAAGGGAGAUUCUUAAUACACAAUGAAGUGAAAAAGAUGAGUUGUAGAAUCAUGUGUAUAGUUUCUCUCUCUCUCUCUCUCUAUAUAUAUAUAUGUAUAUGUAUAUAUAUAUGUAUAUAUACGUAUAUAUAUAUAUAUAUAUUUUGGUAAGUAAAAAAAGACAUAGAGGGCCAGGUGUAGUGGCUCAUGCCUGUAGUCCUAGCACUUUGGGAGGCUGAGGUGGACAGAUCACUUGAGCCCAGGAGUUUGAGAUCAGCUUGGGCACCAUGAUGAAACCCCGUUUCUACAAAAAAUACAAAAAUUAACCAGUUUCAUAAUCAAGUCUCAAAAUAAAUAAAUAGAUGAACAUUUUUUUAAAAAAGCAUAGAGAAGGGAACUCUACAACAAUCUAUUAACAUUGCUAACUACAAGGGGUUGGAGUUAGAAUGGAGUGGGAGAGAUUAUUGAUUUUUUACUUUACUUUGUUGUUUAGCAUAUUGCAAUGCAUGCGUUACUUCCAUAAUUAAGAAAAUCUAAUACACAUUUUUAUAAAAAUUCAAGGUGUCCUCAGAUAUGUUCAAGCCCAAAAGAAUCUUAUACCUGGACCCCCCAGUCCCUAGCCCCUGGUAAGGGACUGGAGUUUACCUUUGAGCAGGACCAUCCCUUGAUUCUGGGUGUGAGCACUUGGUGAGAAGAAAAUAAGCAAAAUAACUAUCCACGGUUCUUGGGGAUGCCCUGAAAGCUCAAAUACUGAAGCUGCAGAUGGAGCAGUUAAGUAUUCUAAAGGGAACCUAAAGCAAACUGUGUUUGUUGGUAGAACAUGCCCCUGCAGGGUUGGAGCAAAAUCUGUUUCUAAACUUAGAGUUUGGCUGCCCCAGGCCUGAACGCACUUGUUUGCUCUUGGGAGACAGGGUGUGCAUUCUCAUCCAAGCAUUUGCUUGCUGGAGUUGAGGAUUGAGGACCAGAUGGUGGCAGAAGGGAUAUGCAGGCUUGCUCUUGCUCUCACCUGAGGCUGGAGAGAAGUGCCACGUCUGGGCCUGUAUCCCCAUGUGGGUGAAUGUGAGCCAUCCUGCCUUCUGGGCUGGGGGUGGGAGCCGCCCCAGCAGACCACAGCAAUGGCACAGCAGGAUGUCAACACCAGAAGGACCCGUGGGCACAUUCCUGAGCUCAGGAAAAGACUCAGAAUGGAUGGAAGUUGUUUAUAAAUUCUCCUCUGCUGCAUACUGUUAAGAAGGGGAAAGAGGAGUGCUGGACUCACCCUGAAUUCUUUCUUACGCGAGAUCCAAGAAUUGUCUCUUGGGGUCUGUGCUGGGACUGCUUUCCUGUAACAUAUUUCUGGCGUCCACAGAAGGGACUAUAGUGAGGAAACCACUGACUUUGGAUCACUCCCUGCAGGUGAAGCCAACUGCCAUGUUGUGCAGAGGCUCCAGCCUCCCGUGGAGAGGCCCACACGGAGAGGAUCUGCCAUCGCCAGCAGGAGCUUUCCAGCCAUAGUGGAACCUACACUGUCAGCUUUCCUGGUUCUCAGGCCUUUGGACUCAGACUGGAACUGCACCAUCAGCUCUCCUGGGGCUCUAGCUUGUCAAUUACAGGCAAGGAUUCCUCUCGUGGUGACAAGAUGGCUGCCGCAGCUCUGAGAAUCACAUCCUCACAAGAUAGCAUCCAGAUCCAGGAAGGGAAGACAGCCAAAGCAGGAAAGGCACUUUCUCUGCAUGUACCACUCUUUUAUUAAAGGGACUGUGAAGAUUACCUCCUGAAAACCUCUUGUCAGAUUUCUCCUAUGUCUCAUCAGUCAGACCUGGGUUACACGCCCACUUCUAGACCAGUCACUGGAAGAGGGGAAUUGGUGUGCCAUGACUGGUUUAGACAAAUUGUAGUUCACCCUCUAGAGUUGAACUUUUUUUUUUUUUUUUUUUUUUUUUUUUUUGAGACAGAGUCUUGCUCUGUCGCCCAGGCUGGAGUGCAGUGGCACGAUCUCAGCUCACUGCAACCUCUGCCUCCCGGGCUCAAGCAAUUCUCCUGCCUCAGCCUCCUGAGUAGCUGGGAUUACAGGUGCCCACCACCACGCCCAGCUAAUUUUUGUAUUUUUAGUAGAGACAGCGUUUCACCAUGUUGGUCAGGCUGGUCUCGAACCCCUGACCUUGUGAUCCACCCGCCUCGACCUCCCAAAGUGCUGGGAUUACAGGCGUGAGCCACUGUGCCCGGCGAAUUGAACAUAUUUUUAACAUAGUCAAAUCAAAGGAGGCAGAAUGGUAUUGGGAGGGUAACCAUUAAACUACUCCAGGAGUGCUAAUAAACUGUCUCUAACAUUUUUCAAUCUAUGAUAGUCACUUAAAAUAUUGUGACCAUCUUUCCAUUUUGAUAAAGACACGAAGUGCAUGCUUCUCUCCAUUUGUGAUGGUUAAUAUUGAGUGUCAACUUGAUUGGAUUGAAGGAUGCAAAGUAUUGAUCCUGGGUGUGUCUGUGAGGGUGUUGCCAAAGGAGAUUAACAUUUGAGUCAGUGGGCUGGGAAAGGCAGACCCACACUUAAUCUGGGUGGGUACCAUCUAAUCAGCUGCCAGCACAGCCAGGAUAUAAACCAGGCGGAAAAAUGUGAAGAGGCUAGACCGGCUUAGCCUCCCAGCCUACAUCCUUCUCCUGUGCUGGAUGCUUCCUGCCCUUGAACAUUGGACUCCAAGUUCUUCAGCUUUGGGAGUUGGACUGACUCUCCUUGCUCCCCAGCUUGCCGAUGGCCUAUUGUGGGAUCUUGUGUUCAUGUGAGUUAAU
rnacentral:lncRNA from 1 species